UCCAAAAACCCUAGCAUGGUGCAGCGCCGCUCCUCCUCGCUCUCUCCCGAUUCCAAUCACCAUCUCGAAGAGCGUUUAACUCGAUCGAUCGGAGUGGAUCGCAAUCACCAUUUCGAAGAGCGUUUAUCUCGAUCGAUCGGAGUGGAUCAAAAUGUCGGAUGACGAUUUCGGAGUUAAUACCCAAUCCAUGGACCUGAUGACUGCACUGCAGCUCGUGAUGAAGAAAUCCGCGGCUCACGCCGGACGAAAAUGCAUUCAUAUACUCAGUUUAUAAUCUCUAAAAGAGAGAAAAUGUGAAGCUUUGCGAAAUCGACUCCGAGGAAAAAGCGAGGAAAGUGGUUGGUUGCUUCUGCCUGCGUGCUCGUCAAGGAUCACGGAGAAGAAUCAGAACGCCUUAAUAUUGUUCAGGAGUAUGUGAAGUCCCAGUAAAAGUCCCAGUAAGAAAGAUAUACCCCAUUUCAAUUUCAACGUCCUUGUUCAUAUCUUUUGGAGAGUGGAUCGUCGCGGCAUUGUUAUGAACUUCGAUUUUUGUGAGAAUUUAACCUCUUUUUUUUUUUUGUCUAUAGGAGUUAUUAUUAUUAUUUUUCCAGUGUACGUGUUCUUAGUUCUUACCGAUGCGUUCAUUUUUGUCGAACAAAAGAAAAAGUUUUAAAUUGUAUAAUUUCAUUAUGGAAUUAGAUGCAAAGUUCAAAAGUUGAUCAUGAAA